GCGGGGUAACGGCCCACCAAGGCGACGACGGGUAGCCGGCCUGAGAGGGCGACCGGCCACACUGGAACUGAGACACGGUCCAGACUCCUACGGGAGGCAGCAGUGGGGAAUAUUGCACAAUGGGCGCAAGCCUGAUGCAGCGACGCCGCGUGGGGGAUGAAGGCCUUCGGGUUGUAAACCCCUUUUGGCAGGGAAGAAGCGAAAGUGACGGUACCUGCAGAAAAAGCGCCGGCUAACUACGUGCCAGCAGCCGCGGUAAUACGUAGGGCGCAAGCGUUGUCCGGAAUUAUUGGGCGUAAAGAGCUCGUAGGCGGUCCGUCGCGUCUGCUGUGAAAACCCGAGGCUUAACCUCGGGCUUGCAGUGGGUACGGGCGGACUAGAGUGUGGUAGGGGAGACUGGAAUUCCUGGUGUAGCGGUGGAAUGCGCAGAUAUCAGGAGGAACACCGAUGGCGAAGGCAGGUCUCUGGGCCUCAACUGACGCUGAGGAGCGAAAGCGUGGGUAGCAAACAGGAUUAGAUACCCUGGUAGUCCACGCCGUAAACGGUGGGCACUAGAUGUGGGGCUCAUUCCACGAGUUCCGCGUCGCAGCUAACGCAUUAAGUG
rnacentral:rRNA from 1 species